UACGUAGGGGGCGAGCGUUAUCCGGAUUCACUGGGCGUAAAGGGCGUGUAGGCGGUUCCGUAAGUCAGAUGUGAAAGCUCGGGGCUCAAUCCCGACAGCGCACCUGAUACUGCGGUGACUCGAGGGCGGUAGAGGCAGAUGGAACUCGCGGUGUAGCGGUGGAAUGCGCAGAUAUCGCGAGGAACGCCGGUGGCGAAGGCGAUCUGCUGGGCCGACCCUGACGCUGAGGCGCGAAAGCGUGGGGAGCAAACCGG
rnacentral:rRNA from 1 species